AGCGAACGCUGGCGGCAGGCUUAACACAUGCAAGUCGAACGGGCAUCUUCGGAUGUCAGUGGCAGACGGGUGAGUAACACGUGGGAACGUACCCUUCGGUUCGGAAUAACUCAGGGAAACUUGAGCUAAUACCGGAUACGCCCUUUUGGGGAAAGGUUUACUGCCGAAGGAUCGGCCCGCGUCUGAUUAGCUUGUUGGUGGGGUAACGGCCUACCAAGGCGACGAUCAGUAACUGGUCUGAGAGGAUGAUCAGCCACACUGGGACUGAGACACGGCCCAGACUCCUACGGGAGGCAGCAGUGGGGAAUAUUGGACAAUGGGCGCAAGCCUGAUCCAGCCAUGCCGCGUGAGUGAUGAAGGCCUUAGGGUUGUAAAGCUCUUUUGUCCGGGACGAUAAUGACGGUACCGGAAGAAUAAGCCCCGGCUAACUUCGUG
rnacentral:rRNA from 1 species